rnacentral:rRNA from 1 species
AUUGAACGCUGGCGGCAUGCCUUACACAUGCAAGUCGAACGGCAGCACGGGUGCUUGCACCUGGUGGCGAGUGGCGAACGGGUGAGUAAUACAUCGGAACGUACCUUAUCGUGGGGGAUAACGCAGCGAAAGCUGUGCUAAUACCGCAUACGCCCUGAGGGGGAAAGCGGGGGAUCGCAAGACCUCGCGCGAUUAGAGCGGCCGAUGCCUGAUUAGCUUGUUGGUGGGGUAAAAGCCCACCAAGGCGACGAUCAGAAGCUGGUCUGAGAGGACGAUCAGCCACCCUGGGACUGAGACGCGGCCCAGACUCCUACGGGAGGAAGCAGUGGGGAAUUUUGGACAAUGGGGGCAACCCUGAUCCAGCAAUGCCGCGUGAGUGAAGAAGGCCUUCGGGUUGUAAAGCUCUUUUGUCAGGGAAGAAACACCGGCUCUAACACAGUCCGGGAAUGACGGUACCUGAAGAAUAAGCCACGGCUAACUACGUGCCAGCAGCCGCGUAA